AAAUAAAUUGGGAUUCUGUGUGUCCUCUGUGCUAGUAGUCCAGGACAGGAAUGUAAAGUCAGAAUGCGGGGCCAGGAGGGCCUCUUCCUCCCUCUUCCCUCCCAAGAAACCAGGUUGGAGAGGCCCAAGUCACUGGGGCCCACCCUUGCUAGGGUUUCCGUACAGCCACGUGGCCGGGGCCAUGGCUUUCAAGUGCUGUCUGGGGGGGCCAGCCCCACGAGCCUCCAACCACAUUAGAGGCUGGGAACAGCCAGGAUGUUGCCAAAGCCCCUGGCCUUUCCUGUACACGCCUGUGACUGGCAGCCACAUGGUUUCUGCUUAUUAACGUGAGCCUCCCUGUUGGUGAAAUGGUGUAGCUGGGAACGGACAGCAAAGGUGCAGGCGGUCAGGCUCCUCGCUUGGAAGACCACGGUUCUGAGCAAGUCUGCACAACAGCACCAAAAGGAGACCCCGAGGCCCAAAGAUAAACUGCUACAAUGCUCCAGAACAAUCUUUUCUCUCCUCCCCAGAGGCCCCAUGGGAUGCCGCGUGCUGUUGGGUUUGGGCUAAGAUCUAAGACCCAGCAGAUAGGAGACAGCAGGUACCACCCACACAGCACAGCUCUUCAUUCACAGUCAAGAGUUUAGACUGCUCCAGCUGGGACAUCCAGUCCUCGCUGCUGUUGCUGCUAGUUCGAAGGAUGCCGCCGUGCUGUCUGUGGCCGCCCUCCCAUGUCCUGUCCCCUGUAGCUGCUUUCUUAGAUGGAAACAGGCUAACGAAGAGAGGGACACUGUCGUGUCAGUAGCCGCAGGGUCCCCUUUAAGAUGUGUAUAUCGACACUAGGUCAGAAAGUGUAUGCGUUAUAAUAAAGUUCUGGUUCUAACUCC
rnacentral:lncRNA from 1 species